rfam:Epilithonimonas sp. 36-9 SCNpilot_cont_300_bf_scaffold_322, whole genome shotgun sequence.
UGCUGGCACGCAGCCCGACUUGAGCGGAAAUCCUUUUUGCUUUUUUGCUAAAAAGUAAAAAGAUUGGGAGCGGAAGGCGGAAAUAGCU